rnacentral:rRNA from 1 species
CCUACGGGUGGCUGCAGUGGGGAAUAUUGGACAAUGGGCGAAAGCCUGAUCCAGCCAUGCCGCGUGUGUGAUGAAGGCCUUCGGGUUGUAAAGCACUUUCAGUGGGGAAGAAAGCCUUGGGGCUAAUACCCUCGAGGAAGGACAUCACCCACAGAAGAAGCACCGGCUAACUCCGUGCCAGCAGCCGCGGUAAUACGGAGGGUGCGAGCGUUAAUCGGAAUUACUGGGCGUAAAGCGCGCGUAGGCGGUCUGAUAAGCCGGUUGUGAAAGCCCCGGGCUCAACCUGGGAACGGCAUCCGGAACUGUCAGGCUAGAGUGCAGGAGAGGAAGGUAGAAUUCCCGGUGUAGCGGUGAAAUGCGUAGAGAUCGGGAGGAAUACCAGUGGCGAAGGCGGCCUUCUGGACUGACACUGACGCUGAGGUGCGAAAGCGUGGGUAGCAAACAGGAUUAGAUACCCUUGUAGUC